rnacentral:rRNA from 1 species
AAUUAGGAGAGUUUGAUCCUGGCUCAGAACGAACGCUGGCGGCACGCUUAACACAUGCAAGUCGAACGGCAGCGGGUCCUUCGGGAUGCCGGCGAGUGGCGAACGGGUGAGUAAUACGUGGAAACCUGCCCCGAGGUGGGGGACAACAGCUGGAAACGGCUGCUAAUACCGCAUAAGCCCUAAGGGGGAAAGAUUUAUCGCCUUGGGAGGGGUCCACGUCGGAUUAGCUAGUUGGUAGG